CCUGGUAGUCCACGCCGUAAACUAUGAGAGUUAGCCGUCGGGCAGUAUACUGCUUGGUGGCGCAGCAAUCGCAUUAAGCUCUCCGCCUUGGGAGUACGGUCUCAAGAUUAAAACUCAAAGGAAUUGACGGGGGCCCGCCCAAGCGGUGGAGCAUGUGGUUUAAUUCGAAGCAACGCGCAGAACCUUCCAGCCCUUGACAUCCCGAUCGCGGUACCCGAGAUGGUUCCUUCAGUAGGCCGGAUCGGGACAGGUGGGCAUGGCGUCGUCAGCUCGGUCGUGAGAUGUUGGGUUAAGUCCCGCAAUGAGCGCAACCCUCGCCCUUAGUUGCCAUCACUCAGUUGGGCCCUCUAAGGGGACUGCCGGUGAUAAGCCGAGAGGAAGGUGGGGAUGACGUCAAGUCCUCAUGGCCCUUUCGGGCUGGGCUACCCACGUGCUACAAUGGUGGUGACAGUGGGCAGCGAGACCGGGAGGUCGAGCUAAUCUCCCAAAGCCAUCUCAGUUCGGAUUGCCCUCUGCAACUCGAGCGCAUGAAGUUGGAAUCGCUAGUAAUCGUGGAUCAGAAUGCCACGGUGAAUACGUUCCCGGGCCUUGUACACACCGCCCGUCACACCAUGGGAGUUGGUUUUACCCGAAGGUGCUGUGCUAACCGC
rnacentral:rRNA from 1 species